GACGAACGCUGGCGGCGUGCUUAACACAUGCAAGUCGAACGGAAAGGCCCUGCUUUUGUGGGGUGCUCGAGUGGCGAACGGGUGAGUAACACGUGAGUAACCUGCCCUUGACUUUGGGAUAACUUCAGGAAACUGGGGCUAAUACCGGAUAGGAGCUCCUGCUGCAUGGUGGGGGUUGGAAAGUUUCGGCGGUUGGGGAUGGACUCGCGGCUUAUCAGCUUGUUGGUGGGGUAGUGGCUUACCAAGGCUUUGACGGGUAGCCGGCCUGAGAGGGUGACCGGCCAAAUUGGGACUGAGAUACGGCCCAGACUCCUACGGGAGGCAGCAGUGGGGAAUAUUGCACAAUGGGCGGAAGCAUGAUGCAGCAACGCCGCGUGCGGGAUGACGGCCUUCGGGUUGUAAACCGCUUUCGCCUGUGACGAAGCGUGAGUGACGGUAAUGGGUAAAGAAGCACCGGCUAACUACGUG
rnacentral:rRNA from 1 species